rnacentral:lncRNA from 10 species
GUUAACUUGGGACUUUCCUUAGCUGAAGGCUAGAAAACUGUAAAUAGGUAGAUUCCUGUCAGGCCUCUGAACCCAAGCCAGCCCGUAUACAUCCAGAUGGCCUGAAGCAAGUGAGGAAUCACAAACGAAGUGAAAAUGGCCGUUUCCUGCUUUAACAGAUAACAUUCCACCAUUGUGAUUUGUUCCUGCCCCACCUAAACUGAGUGAUUAACCUUGUGAAAUUCCUUCUCCUGGCUCAGAAGCUGCCCCACUGAGCACCUUGUGAACCCUGCCACUGCCCGUAAGAGAACAACCCCCUUUGACUGUAAUUUUCCACUACCCACCCAAAUCCUAUAAAGCAGCCCCACCCCUAUCUCCCUUCACUGACUCUCUUUUCAGACUCAGCCUGCCUGCACCCAGUUGAUUAAAAAGCUUUAUUGCUCACACGAAGCCUGUUUGGUGGUCUCUUCACACGGACGCGCAUGAAAUUUGGUGCCGAAACGUGACUCGCAUCAAGGGACCUCCCUUUGGGGACCUCCCUUGGGAGAUCAAUCCCCUGUCCUCCUGCUCUUUGCUCCCUGAGAACGAUCCACCUAUGACCACUGGUCCUCAGACCAACCAGCCCAAGGAACAUCUCACCAAUUUUAAACCGGGACCCUACUGAAAAUCAGACUGUCCAAAUCACCCGGC